GAUGAAGAACGCAGCGAAAUGCGAUAAUUAAUGUGAAUUGCAGAAUUCAGUGAAUCAUCGAGUCUUUGAACGCACAUUGCGCCCCCUGGUAUUCCGGGGGGCAUGCCUGUCCGAGCGUCAUUGCUGCCCUCAAGCACGGCUUGUGGGUUGGGCUUCCGUCCCUGGCAACGGGGACGGGCCCAAAAGGCAGUGGCGGCACCAUGUCUGGUCCUCGAGCGUAUGGGGCUUUGUCACCCGCUCCCGUAGGUCCAGCUGGCAGCUAGCCUCGCAACCAAUCUUUUUAACCAGGUUGACCUCGGAUCAGGUAGGGAUACCCGCUGAACUUAAGCAUAUCAAUAAGCGGAGGA
rnacentral:misc_RNA from 1 species